GCGGUUUUUUCGCUUUCUGGGGGAAAACUUGAAGCCCACCCUCGAGCUUUCCUUCGGCUCCGGGCAGACUAGAGUGCGGUAGGGGAGACUGGAAUUCCUGGUGUAGCGGUGGAAUGCGCAGAUAUCAGGAGGAACACCGAUGGCGAAGGCAGGUCUCUCGGCCGCAACUGACGCUGAGGAGCGAAAGCAUGGGGAGCGAACAGGAUUAGAUACCCUGGUAGUCCAUGCCGUAAACGUUGGGCACUAGGUGUGGGGCUCAUUCCACGAGUUCCGUGCCGCAGCAAACGCAUUAAGUGCCCCGCCUGGGGAGUACGGCCGCAAGGCUAAAACUCAAAGGAAUUGACGGGGGCCCGCACAAGCGGCGGAGCAUGCGGAUUAAUUCGAUGCAACGCGAAGAACCUUACCAAGGCUUGACAUGCACGGGAAGCCACCAGAGAUGGUGGUCUCUUUGGACACUCGUGCACAGGUGGUGCAUGGUUGUCGUCAGCUCGUGUCGUGAGAUGUUGGGUUAAGUCCCGCAACGAGCGCAACCCUCGUCCCAUGUUGCCAGCGGGUUAUGCCGGGGACUCAUGGGAGACUGCCGGGGUCAACUCGGAGGAAGGUGGGGAUGACGUCAAAUCAUCAUGCCCCUUAUGUCUUGGGCUUCACGCAUGCUACAAUGGCCGGUACAAAGGGCUGCGAUACCGUAAGGUGGAGCGAAUCCCAAAAAGCCGGUCUCAGUUCGGAUUGGGGUCUGCAACUCGACCCCAUGAAGUCGGAGUCGCUAGUAAUCGCAGAUCAGCAACGCUGCGGUGAAUACGUUCCCGGGCCUUGUACACACCGCCCGUCAAGUCACGAAAGUCGGUAACACCCGAAGCCCAUGGCCCAACCGUUCGCGGGGGGAGUGGUCGAAGUGUACCACA
rnacentral:rRNA from 1 species